rnacentral:rRNA from 1 species
CGAACGCUGGCGGCGUGCUUAACACAUGCAAGUCGAACGCGAAAGGGACUUCGGUCCUGAGUAGAGUGGCGCACGGGUGAGUAACGCGUAGAUAACCUGUCUUCAUGUCUGGAAUAAUACGCCAAAGGGGUACUAAUACCGGAUAUUCUUGCUUUUCAUAAGUUAUGCAAGCAAAGGUGGCCUCUGCAUAUGCUACUGCAUGAAGAGGGGUCUGCGUACCAUUAGCUAGUAGGUGGGGUAAUGGCCUACCUAGGCGACGAUGGUUAGCGGGUCUGAGAGGAUGAUCCGCCACACUGGCACUGGAACACGGGCCAGACUCCUACGGGAGGCAGCAGUGAGGAAUAUUGCGCAAUGGGGGAAACCCUGACGCAGCGACGCCGCGUGAGUUGAGGAAGGCCUUCGGGUCGUAAAGCUCUGUCAAGAGGAAAGAAGUGUACAAUGGCUAAUACCUGUUGUAUUUGACGGUACCUCUAAAGGAAGCACCGGCUAACUCCGUGCCAGCCGCCGC